AGAGAGCAAGUGCAUAGACUGUACGUCAGUGGCACUUGCCGACAAAGAGAUUGCCUUUCUUAUGCGAUAGAGAGUUCAUGCCGUUACGGUGGUGCAAUUAUUUUUUUUCAUGUAUAUAAAGCUUGUUUCUUCAAAUAAAAUGUAGUUGGAAGUUAUUGCCCCUCCGCUGUGCCUGUCUUCUUUUCGUUCUCGUCUAUUUUGCGCUGUUU
rnacentral:lncRNA from 1 species